GAUGAACGCUAGCGGGAGGCCUAACACAUGCAAGCCGAGCGGUAGAGUUUCUUCGGAAACUUGAGAGCGGCGCACGGGUGCGUAACACGUGUGCAACCUACCUUUAUCUGGGGGAUAGCCUUUCGAAAGGAAGAUUAAUACCCCAUAAUAUAAUGAUUGGCAUCAAUUAUUAUUGAAAACUCCGGUGGAUAGAGAUGGGCACGCGCAAGAUUAGAUAGUUGGUGAGGUAACGGCUCACCAAGUCAAUGAUCUUUAGGGGUCCUGAGAGGGAGAUCCCCCACACUGGUACUGAGACACGGACCAGACUCCUACGGGAGGCAGCAGUGAGGAAUAUUGAACAAUGGGUGAGAGCCUGAUCCAGCCAUCCCGCGUGAAGGAUGACGGUCCUAUGGAUUGUAAACUUCUUUUGUACAGGGAUAAACCUACCCACGUGAGGGUAGCUGAAGGUACUGUACGAAUAAGCACCGGCUAACUCCGUG
rnacentral:rRNA from 1 species